rnacentral:rRNA from 1 species
CCAAAUAUCUAAACGGAGAAAUUCAACAUUACCCUUAAAAGUAAUGUGCACUUUUCUCUUAGUAAGACGCCGUGAUCCAUUAGAAAUUGGUGCACGCCAAGUGUACAGUGGGUUAUCAAUAGUGCCAGUGUGAAGUUUAUUUGGAACAAAUGGCGUGAUCUUUUACGGUCGCGUGUAUUGUCUGGUAAGCACAUCUGGUAUCUGUAAUAACUGUCUGAUGGAUUUUAAAGACUGCUAUCAACGAUGCCUUGUGCAUCGACACUGCAUUGUGGUGUUAUUAAGAUACAUGUCCGAUCAACGGUGGUUAAAUUUGGGAUACCUUUUGGACCCGUCUUGAAACACGGACCAAGGAGUCUAUCUAGUAUGCGAGUAAAUGGAUAAUUAAUGAAAUCUAUUUGCGHAAUAAACGUGACUGUAUAUAAUGGGAUUACAAUUUGUAAUGCUUUCAUUAGUAUUGCUUAUUUUCCAUCCCGGGGUAUUUUCAUCAACAUAUGCCGUUAAAAAGUAUAUGGAAAAUAUACCAUGAGCACACUGGAUGCGACCCGAAAGAUGGUGAACUAUGCCUGAUCAGGUCGAAGUCAGGGGAAACUCUGAUGGAGGACCGAAGCAGUUCUGACGUGCAAAUCGAUUGUCAGAAUUGGGCAUAGGGGCGAAAGACCAAUCGAACCAUC